rnacentral:rRNA from 1 species
CUAUGUCGGCGACCGGCGCACGGGUGCGUAACGCGUAUGCAACCUACCCAUUACAGGGGGAUAACACUGAGAAAUCGGUACUAAUACCCCAUAACAUCCAGGGAGGCAUCUUCUUGGGUUGAAAACUCCGGUGGUAAUGGAUGGGCAUGCGUUGUAUUAGCUGGUUGGUAAGGUAACGGCUUACCAAGGCGACGAUACAUAGGGGGACUGAGAGGUUAACCCCCCCACAUUGGUACUGAGACACGGACCAAACUCCUACGGAAGGCAGCAG